UGAUGUUGUGCACUAGCGAUGUGGGAUGGACGGGUGGUUUGUGUUUGGAAGGAUGUCUAAGAUGUUAGGGCAAAAAGUCCUAAUUAUUUUGGAAGGGGGCUGAUCCUGAUUUAUCUUUGUCAUCCCAGAUCUUUGCCAUGGCAGGUGCGCUUGCAUGGCAGGUCACUGAAACAUAAUAAAAAUUUAGGUUUUCUCGGUGUUUUUGAGGGGAGUUCGCAUGGGGAUUGCCCAGGUUCUCCCCUCUGCUGUGGUGUGGCGUUUCGUGCUCUUUUACUUUUUUUUUUCCCCUUUUAGCGUUCUAUUAUUUUCUCCCUUUAAUACUCUGCACCAUCUGAGAUGGAUGCAUGACCAACAUCAUCGCCAACAUCAUCAUCAUCAUCGUCGCCAACAUGGAAUAAUAAUCUUAUGAUCUCCCAAGUCAUUGAUCUUCUACUACUUGCAAAUCGCAAGGCCAAGGUAUUAUUUACAUAUUUCAAACCAAAAUUUGCCUUAUAUAGUUUUACUUCAAAAUUAAUUUAGAUAUUUGCUAUUUAUUAUGCAAGUAGAUUUACCAAUAACUUGAUAACAUGCAACGAGUUCCUUUGAGAUGAUUUUUAAUUAUUCAUAUUUUUUAAUAAAAUUAUUUUGAAUUUUUUUUUUUUUUUAAAAGUUAGGCAGUACUAAGUUGUUUUAAGUAACUCGUUUACAAUUUUUUUUUCUUAGAGAAACUUAAUUAUAAAACCAACAAUCUAUCAAUGAGAUUGAAUUCAAUUAAAAGAGUCGGUACUCAAGUAUCUGAUAUACUUGCAAAAUGAGAAGUUGAACACAUCUCCAAUUGCCAUGGUUCCUUUAGAGCAAUAGAUUAAUCACCAUUUCUAAAUGCAUUGGAUCCUAAGGCCAUUUCAGAUAACUGUUUUUUGUACAAUUGGCUUCCGUUACGAAGUGCUGACAAUAAAGGCCAUCUAGUUAACACAUUAAAAAUUUCCUUUUUUGAAGUUUAUCUUAUACACAUGGAUCAAUUUACCAGUUUCAAUCAUGAUUAUUCUAUUUUGAGGCUCAUUUGCAUCUGAUAUUGUUGUGCCUGCAAAAUCUUAGGUGCCCUUGAAUUGCCUAUGAUAGUUUCUUUUAUCAUAGUGAUUUACAUUUUCAUUUUACUUGUCGAAGUGGAAUGCGAGUGAGCAUCUCAGUAUUGUUUUUCUAGUGCAUUACCAAACUGUGUAUUCUUAGGAAAAUGUUAUAUGUAGGUUGAGGCAGCAUAUAUGUACUUCGCUUGUAUUGCUAUUUGUAGUUCUUUAGGCCCUUGCAUGGGCUUCUGUUUCCAUUGGGUUGAAAGAUGGGGUACUGGCUAUCAAAGAUUUUGAUGAAAGAUGUCCCAGCAGUGAGCAUGAUGUUGGCAGUUGCAUGUCUCUUCUCUGUGAUUAACAUUGAAAAUCAAGGUAUGUGAAGUGUUUAUCAAGCUUGGUGAACUUCCAAGAUUUAUGUCAGAAGGUAUGUGGGACUGCAGCAGUCUACUAGUCAAGCUUUGGAAGGCCCCAUAUAAUCAAAAUUCAUUACUACAGCAGCUCUCUACUGACAUUAGUGUGGAGGAACUGUUAUUUGUUGUCCAAGAUUGAUCCAUGAGGCACCUGUCACCAUGUAACCAGUUCCUUUAUAUAGUGAACUUUUUCAGUGGACUAUGGUCCCGUGGUUUUUCCCCUUUUUAAGGGGUUUUCCACGUAAAUUUUGGUGUUCAGUUUAUAUUCAUACGCGCAAUUAUGUUGGUGAUCGGCACUUUCCCGAUUAUAUCAAAGCUGAAUUACUUUUUUGGCGCUCUUGAUAUGCCUAUCACAUAACAGGUAGUCUUUUUUCAUUGUUCCCUAAGUAUCAAGAAAAAGCUAAUAACAUCUAAAUGGAUUUUUAUCUGAUUUAUUCUUAAGUUUCUUUUGCAGGUUGAAGGCACAUUGAAUUUAGUGUGUUAAAGGUUCUAUGUUUUAAAUUUAGCUUUUGGUAGUGAAAUUGAAUCGCAAAUAUUUCUAUGAAAAUUUCCUUGUUUUAUUAGUAGUUCUAUUGUGGGUUUUAUAUUUGAGCGGUGAUGAAGUAUGUUAAUAAUUAUGUUUUGUCUUUCUAUUGUUAUUUUGAAUUUUAGUAGUGUUAGAUUGAACUUUCUUUCAUAGCCCUUUAAUAUUUAAACUAAAAACUUUAUAAAAUGAAAACCAAAAACAAAAA